UGAUUAAACUCCUGCCUACUAGAAAAAGAAAUGAUUAGUUGAUCAAUCAUACUUGGACUUAUGUAUAUAGAUACAUAUAAACAUUAAUUAACAAGAACAAAUAAUCAUAUGGUAAAUAAACUAAGCAUGAAGCCAAUUACCUGCAAGGAAAUUGGUCGACCCUUUGGCAUGUUGAACUUCUUAUUGGUUUUGUGAUUAUUAUUAUUAUUAUGAGUUGGUUGAAUAAACCAACGGUUUAUAAAGGAAGAAAUUUCAUAGCCAAAAGUUCUAUAUAAUAAAGAAGCCAUGAUUAAUGUAAACAAGGAAGGAAGAACAACUAAGGAAGAAAUCAGAAAUAGAAUAUAUUCCCUUUUGCCAUUUGUAUCUCAAGAAUGAUAAUAAUAUUUUCAUAUCAAUCUAUAGACUUAUAUAUACCAUUAAUUGGCAUAUGCUUACUUAAAAUAUAUAGUACAAAAUUAAAUUAUUAAAAAGCAUCAUAUUCUUUUAAUACAUAUAUAGUAGAUAUUUAUAUGAAACAUUUCACUCAAC
rnacentral:lncRNA from 1 species